rnacentral:rRNA from 1 species
AUUGAACGCUGGCGGCAGGCCUAACACAUGCAAGUCGAGCGGAGCGGCGGACGGGUGCGUAAUACCUAGGAAUCUGACUGUUAGUGGGGGAUAACGUCCGGAAAUGGGCGCUGAUACCGCAUACUCUCAGAUUAGCAUAGGUCGGAUUAGCUAGUUGGUGGGGUAAAGGCCUACCAAGGCGACGAUCCGUAACUGGUCUGAGAGGAUGAUCAGUCACACUGGAACUGAGACACGGUCCAGACUCCUACGGGAGGCAGCAGUGGGGAAUAUUGCACAAUGGGCGAAAGCCUGAUACAGCCAUGCCGCGUGUGUGAAGAAGGCCUUCGGAUUGUAAAGCACUUUAAGUUGGGAGGCGUUACCAACAGAAGAAGCACCGGCUAACUUCGUGCCAGCAGCCGCGGUAAUAC